rnacentral:pre_miRNA from 1 species
AUGACGUGUAGCAUGCCCGUUGUGGGAUACUCUGAUGUUUAUACGCUAUUUUAUUGCUUUUGGGUAACGGGGUGUUACAGA